AUGUAUGAGCUGCCAACAGCUCAUCCAUCUCACCAACCUAACAGGGUCUGCUUCUUCCAGGAUGAGCACCGGAUCAGCGUCGACGUGUGUGCCCGCAAGGUCGUGGGUUGCAAGGUCUAUGAGUUGGUUGAGCCACCGCGCGAAGACAUCACUUCCCGCUUCGUUCACGCUUGGCCGCUGCCAUCGGCUCUCUGCUCAGGGCUAGCAUUUCAGUUGUUGCUGCAAAUGUUGAUAUUCUCAAAGGCUAGCUUGUGUUUAUUGAUGCUCCAGCUGCAAGACAGAGACACGCCACCAUGCGAUGAUUCUUCUUCCACUCGCAGGCCUCCCACUCUAGUAACUCUUUUUCUACUCCAGCAUAGCAUAGCUGGUGCCUAG
rnacentral:rRNA from 1 species